UCCGUGAAGCUGGAUUCGCUAGUAAUCGCGCAUCAGCCAUGGCGCGGUGAAUACGUUCCCGGGCCUUGUACACACCGCCCGUCAAGCCAUGGGAGCCGGGGGUGCUUGAAGUGCGUCGCCGCAAGGCGCGCCCUAGAGCAAAACCGGUGACUGGGGCUAAGUCGUAACAAGGUAAC
rnacentral:rRNA from 1 species